UACAGAGGUCUCGAGCGUUAGGCGGAAUCACUGGGCUUAAAGCGUGUGUAGGUGGAUCGGUAAGUACCUUGUGAAAUCCCACGGCUUAACCGUGGAACUGCUUGGUAUACUGCCAGUCUUGAGCCAGCUAGGGGCUACCGGAACAAGUGGUGGAGCGGUGAAAUGCGUAGAUAUCAUUUGGAACGCCAAUGGUGAAAACAGGUAGCUGGGGCUGUGCUGACACUGAGACACGAAAGCCAGGGGAGCAAACGGG
rnacentral:rRNA from 1 species